UUAUAGGAUUAAAAUGACCACCUGAGCACCAUGACAAAGUAUUUACAGAUCUGAUACUGUUCAGGUCAGACUACAAAGUCUUCACACCGUCCACUGCAGAUAAUGGGUCUGAUGUGGCAGAGAUGGAGAUACAGAACUUGACUUCCACAACCAACGCAGGAAUCAAGACUGUCCAGUGAUGCUGCUUGAGAAAGUGUAUAAUAUGAUGAUCAAAACCUGAUUGUUUUUGUUUUUUUUUUGCUAAAUAAAAUCUUAAAGUUGA